ensembl:lncRNA
UUUUCCCCACGGAAUUGGAAAUUCUAAUGAACGUGUAUGCCGAGCAGUUACCCAUUUUAACAAAAAAAGCAAUACCGCCGCGGCAGCGAGAGCGAGAGAGAGCUUGGCAGGAAAUAGCUGAACAAGUCAAUGCCAAAUGAAGUACAAAAAUAUAGUUUAAACAGCAAAUCGAAAAAAUGCAGAGACCCGGCAGACUGGAGGGGGUCCACCACCUGCAGCCCUCACAGAGGCUGAGGAGAUGGCCCUCAGCCAACAGAGUAUGCGUCCUGUGGCUGAGGGCAUCCCUAGGGGGGGCUCCUCUGAUCCCCCACACCCCCCAGGAUAGAAGUGCCUUUACAGUAUAAGGGUUACUAAUGGCGCCCUACUUGAACCAGAUGCCCUCACCAACCUCCAUGCAAUUGUAACAAUUCAAAAGAUGCAAAAGGAUGCUUUGGAGAUCCAAAUUUUGGAACAUAAGUUAUAGGUGGGUGAGGUGCAAACUGGGAUACUGUUCCCUGCUCUAAAAACAUACCCAAUAUAAAUG